AGAACCGGCGUGUGGUACCCCAAACCUCUUCUCUCUGGGAAGGGCCCAGGCUAUUCAGAGCCCACGGAACCAGUGGCCUUUGAGGAUGUAGCUGUGCACUUCACUGAGAAGGAAUGGCAAGUUUGGUGCCUGCUCAGAGGGCCUCAUACAGGGAUGUAAUGCUGGAGAACUAUGGAACAAUGGUCUUUCUAGAGCACCCCCGCUUCCAAACCAGCUCUGAUCUCUCAUCUGGAGUGAGGGAAAGAGCCAUGUUUCACCCACCCACAGGAAGCCCUCUGCAGAAGGAGCAGGAGAGCAGGCUUUACAGG
rnacentral:lncRNA from 1 species